GGGUAGCCGAGUGGGUAAAGCGCUUGUAGCUAUUUACUCGGUCCGAAUGUCGAUGGUUCGAUUCCAUCCCGGAGCA
rnacentral:tRNA from 1 species